ensembl:lncRNA
GCCAAUGAAGGAGACAUGGAUUCAAUCCCUGGUCUGAGAAGACCUGCUGGAGAAGAAAAUGGCAACCCACUCCAGUAUUCUUGCCUGGAGAAUCCCAUGGACAAAGGAGGCUGGUGAGCUAUAAUCUAUGGCGUCACAAAGUGUCAGACACGACUUAGCGACUGAACAACAAGAAUCCGGAACUUAGGCUGGAAGUCCAAGAUGAAGCUGUUGGCAGUGCUGAUUUCUUCUGAUGGCUGCCAGGGAGGAUCUGCUCCAUGUCUCUCCCCUAGCUUCUGCUGCUUUGCUGGCAAUCUCUGGAGUUCCCUGACUUCUGCUACAUCACCCCCAUCUCUGCCUUCAUCUUCACAUGGGAUUUGUUCUCCCUGUGCGCCUGUGUCCAAAUCUCCCCUUUUUGUAAGGACAAGUUGGAUUAGGGGGAUACCGAACUCCAGUAUGGCAUCAUCUUGACUUAAUUACAUCUGCAGGGAAGGACCCUGUUUCUAAAAAAGGUGACACUCCUGAAGGUAUUAGAACUUCAACAUGUAAAUCAGGGUGGGGGGCAAAUCCAAUAGACAACAGCUAGUAUUAUUACUGUUAACUUUAAUACUAUGCUCAGUUCAGUUACCAUAUAAAUAUAUCUAUCUUUCAAGUUGUUAUUUUGAAUUCAUUUCAGACAGAAAAAAAAAACUUCAAAAAUACUAUGUUGCCUUGUAACUAUUACCC